rnacentral:lncRNA from 1 species
AUGGGGGUGGUGCGGGCUGACUCAUCCCCUCCCUGGGCUGGAAGCCAGCACUCAGCUACCUGUUGGGCCAGUCAAGUAGGGGCGGGGCAGUCAGUCAGCCCCUCCCAGGACCUGCCCUCAGGCCAGUCCGGAGCAGCGACCCAUCAGGCCCAACACACAACCAGGGCUGGACCCCAGGAAGUGAAGAAAGCCAGCGGUGAGCACAUGGUCAGAUUCCACUAAAGACUCUUGAGAGUCCCUUGGACUGCAAGGAGAUCCAACCAGUCCAUUCUGAAGGAGAUCAGCCCUGGGAUUUCUUUGGAAGGAAUGAUGCUAAAGCUGAAACUCCAGUACUUUGGCACCUCAUGUGAAGAGUUGACUCAUUGGAAAAGACUCUGAUGCUGGGAGGGAUUGGGGGCAGGAGGAGAAGGGGACGACUGAGGAUGAGAUGGCUGGAUGGCAUCACGGACUCGCUGGACAUGAGUCUGAGUGAACUCUGGGAGAUGGUGAUGGACAGGGAGGCCUGGCGUGCUGCGAUUCAUGGGGUUGCAAAGAGUCAGACAUGACUGAGUGACUGAACUGAACGGAACUGAGUGAAAUCACGCAGUAUUUGUCUUUGUCUGACUUAUUUCACUUAGCAUAAUGCAUUCUAGGUCCAUCCAUGGUGUCACAAUGGCCAGAUUUUAUUCUUUUUAUGGCUGAGUAAUAUUCCAUUUUAUAUAUCUCUCUCACAUUUUCUUUACCCAUUCAUCUCCUAACAGGCCCUUGAGUUGCUUCCAUAUCUUGGCUAUUGUAAAUAAUGUUGCAAUGAUCGUUAAGGGUGCAUAUAUCUUUCUAAUCAGUCUUUUGUUUUCUUCAGAUAAAUAUCGAUGAGUGGAAUUGCUGGAUAAUAUAGUAGUCCUAUUUUUAAUUUUUUGAAAUGUCUCCAUACUGUUUUCCACAAUGGCUACACCAAUUUAUAUUCCCACCAAGUUUGCCAAGCAUUCCCCUUUCUCCGCAUCCUUGCCAAUCUGCCAAAUUCUUAAUUAUGUCUUAUCUCCUCGAUCAUGCUAAGCAUUUUUUUUUCCACACCAUGAGGCUUGCAUGAUCUGAAGUCCUCUACAGAGUUUUUUAACUCGGGCCCCAGCAGUGAAAGCGCCAAGACCUAACCACUGGACCACCAGGGAAUUCCCUACAUUUUUUAUUUUAAAUCUGCAUGCAUAACUCCAACAUCUAGAGAGGUUGUUAUAUAUGUUUUUCUUAUGUACUAUGUAUUUGUAUUGUUUCAUCAUGUGUCUCAUUUUUGGUUUUUACGUUUUGAGAGGAGUCUUUUUUGUUUGUUUUUGUGAGAUUUUGUUUUGUGUGUUUAUGGCCUGGACACUGUCUUUGCAAAAUCAUUUGUAGAAAUUAUCUAACCCCAGGAUGAUAACUUCUUCCAAAGAGGAUUUACAAGAGCCUGAAGGCACUGCCAGUCCUGGAUCACCUUAAUCCAGUCUUAGGAACUAGGAUAAGUCUGAGCUGAGCUGCAUUUAGGGUCCCCAUUCAAAGCAAGGGGGGGUCCCCAAACACUUCUCUUGAUAGGCCUAUCUCUUACCACCCAGGAUGCACUCAAAAGCACUGAUCAACCUUGCAGCAUCUUAGCUGUUUCCUUCCUUCCCAAAGGAAAAGCAUUUCUGAAACCAGGAAUAACCCCCUCAUCUCCACAUCUCAGCCCAGUGAUUCUCUAGGGCCUUAUUGAUCUUACUGGCACUUAGAUGCUUUAAACAGUCUCUUGUUGGCUUGUGUUUUCAUAUAUAUAUACCCAUGUGUAUAUAUAUAUGGUGGUGGUUUAGUUGCUAAGUCGUGUCCGACUCUUGCAACCCCAUGGACUGUAGCCCGCCAAGCUCCUCUGUCCAUGGGAUUUUCCAGGCAAGAAUACUGGAGUGGAUUGCCAUUUCCUUCUCCAGGCGAUCUUCCUGACCCAGGAAUCGAACCCAGGUCUCCUGCAUUGCAGGCAGAUUCUUUAUUACAUUUAUAUAUAUUUCUUACUUCUCUAAUUACCUUCAGCUGUAAGGUUAAUCUACAUUUCCUAGUCUCCUGUUUUGCACCAUGAUGUAUAGGAAACUUCUGAGACAUUUGCAACAGCAUUAAAAAGGUGUUUGGUUUUUUUUUUAAGCCAACAGUUUGCACAACACAGAUUAGCAUGUUAUGGAUUGUCACAGCAGAGUUUAUGUUUCUGAGUUAAAAAAAAAAAAAAGAUCUGGGAUUUAUAUAAUGCAUUGACUUUAAUACCAAAGGGGGUUGGCUAAUCAGGAUUAUAAACAUUCAAAGGGCAAAGUUAAAUGUUGAGUUUAUGUUUUGAACAAAGUCUAAAUGUUUUGAAAAUAAAAUUAAAUUCCCUGUUCAUUUUAAAAGAACCAUGACCGGGGUAAAUUGACAGGACUGGUGGGUGGAUGGAAAUUUAUAGGAAAGAUGAGGGUGAUAGGAAGGGGAGCGGGCAGGUAGACCUGGGGAGAACACAGUGAGUUUGGCACUGGACACCUUCCUUUACUGGGUUGGAGGGAAUCCAGCAGAGAAACCUCUACAGUGGCCAGAAGUGGGGUUCUAACCAGGCGAUCUUGUAGAACAGAGACAUGGACUUGGGAGCUGUCUGUGCACAGAUUGGACUCACACCAGGCAGCACCGGAAGAACAUGAG